GCAACCUGCCCAAAAGAGGGGGAUAACACUUGGAAACAGGUGCUAAUACCGCAUAACCAUAGUUACCGCAUGGUAACUAUGUAAAAGGUGGCUAUGCUACCGCUUUUGGAUGGGCCCGCGGCGCAUUAGCUAGUUGGUGGGGUAAAGGCUUACCAAGGCAAUGAUGCGUAGCCGAACUGAGAGGUUGAUCGGCCACAUUGGGACUGAGACACGGCCCAAACUCCUACGGGAGGCAGCAGUAGGGAAUCUUCCACAAUGGGCGAAAGCCUGAUGGAGCAACGCCGCGUGGGUGAAGAAGGUCUUCGGAUCGUAAAACCCUGUUGUUAGAGAAGAAAGUGCGUGAGAGUAACUGUUCACGUUUCGACGGUAUCUAACCAGAAAGCCACGGCUAACUACGUGCCAGCAGCCGCGGUAAUACGUAGGUGGCAAGCGUUAUCCGGAUUUAUUGGGCGUAAAGGGAACGCAGGCGGUCUUUUAAGUCUGAUGUGAAAGCCUUCGGCUUAACCGGAGUAGUGCAUUGGAAACUGGGAGACUUGAGUGCAGAAGAGGAGAGUGGAACUCCAUGUGUAGCGGUGAAAUGCGUAGAUAUAUGGAAGAUCACCAGUGGCGAAAGCGGCUCUCUGGUCUGUAACUGACGC
rnacentral:rRNA from 1 species